rnacentral:rRNA from 1 species
UACGUAGGCAGCAAGCGUUGUUCGGAGUUACUGGGCGUAAAAGAGUGCGUAGGCGGUCCUGUAAGUUUGGUGUGAAAUCUCCCGGCUCAACUGGGAGGGUGCGCCGAAGACUGCAGGGCUUGAGUAUGGGAGAGGUAAGCGGAAUUCCUGGUGUAGCGGUGAAAUGCGUAGAUAUCAGGAGGAACACCUGUGGUGUAGACAGCUUACUGGACCAUAACUGACGCUGAGGCACGAAAAGCGUGGGUAGCAAACAGG